UACGGAGGAUCCAAGCGUUAUCCGGAUUUAUUGGGUUUAAAGGGUGCGUAGGCGGUCCUAUAAGUCAGUGGUGAAAGACGGCAGCUUAACUGUCGCAGUGCCUUUGAUACUGUAGGACUUGAAUCUAUUUGAAGUGGGCGGAAUAAGACAAGUAGCGGUGAAAUGCAUAGAUAUGUCUUAGAACUCCGAUUGCGAAGGCAGCUCACUAAGUUAGUAUUGACGCUGAUGCACGAAAGCGUGGGGAUCAAACAGGAUUAGAUACCCUUUAGUCC
rnacentral:rRNA from 1 species